GCAGAACAAUAGGCCAAGGGGUCUGUGCAUGAGUAAGUUUGGGCUGAUGCUGGAAGCUGGAGACACAGGCUUGUCUUGCUCUGUACUGGAUCCAAAGUUUGGGGCUCCCCAGGAAACCUAGUGUUAAUGCUGUGUUCCCCUCCAUCUUUAACUCAGGUUGUAUAUAUGUGUACAGAAAACUAUAUAACCUAAAGACACCACAGUCUCUUCAUUUCAAGGAAACCAAACCCUGGGUAAGUACUGGAACUGCUCGAGUCUCUCACCACUCGUGUACUGGGGCGCAUGAUGCAGCGAGGCUAUUACUGCUAUUAAUUAAUAUUAUAGCACAGCAGCAACAAUUAUACCCACCACACCAUGUUUGUAGGAAGAGAGUUAGGCCCAUCAGGCAUGGCCCACAACCUGCUUGCACGGGCCUAGAUUAGAAUAUUCCAAGUUCCUUUUGAUGUAGAAAGGAUUCCCUCAGACAAGCAUGAGACUCUGAAUCCCAGGAUAGUGGGUUUGAGCUCCACGUUGCAUUUCAGGGGGUUGAAUUAGAUAACUCUCGUGGUCCCUUCCAACUCUGUGAUUCUAUGACCUCUAUGCUUAAGUCAGAAAGUUUUAAAACCACUUCCGUAGAUAUUUAAUACCACUUCCGUAGAUGUUCCACGUUACAUGCAGUUUGGGUUUGCAAAUCUUUGGAUGUGGCCACAGCUCAAAUAUUUAGAAUGUAUAUAUGCUACCAGGAGUGAAAAUGCAUUGUGUGAAGGUACUAUGGAAUAUUUGAGGGCUCUGCAUCCUUUAUCAGCUGAGGAAUGGAAAAGAGAGACAUUUGAGUAUACUGACAAAUUCUCCUUCUUAUCUCCCAAUGCCUCCUCUUGCUCCUCCAUAGCUCUGCAAAUGCCCCCUUUAACCACAUCUAAUUCCAUCUGCCCUCUUUCCAAUUUCUCCUCCGGACCAGCUUUCCCCUUGUAACCAGAACCCUUAAAUUACCCCCCCUCUCUCUCACACAUACUCCCUCCCUAUUUCCCAUAUUUUCCCUCAUCUAUGGAAAUGCCACCUUCAUCCCCACCAAAUGCCCCUGCCCGUUUUCUAGUUCCUCCUUCUCUUCCCCUUGUCACCAGAGGACUAAAACUGUCACACUGAUUUAUAGGGCUUGAAAUGCUCCCAAUGGUCAAAUUUCGGGAAGGACACAUGACCUCCCACCUUCCCUGGCCUUUUAAGCUUUGGGAUCCUGGUGUUGCCCCCAUGUCUUCAGACUUUUAUGCUUCCCCAGCAAAACCAGCAGUGGCAGGAGAACUGCUCAUAACUCCACCAUAAUCAGGCCACAUCGGCCUGGGCAGGCCGGGUCUUCCUGUUAUAUACCUGCUGGGAUUGACAAAGUGUAUGACCCUCACCUGAAUCUCAAUUAACUCUUUGGGGGGGAAUUAGCAUCAGACGUCAUGUGCAUGGAAGUUGCCAAAGCAAUUAACCAGCUAGGGUUAUUGUUAAUAGCACCAGUUUCCCUAUAAUUUGAUAUUGAUGGAUAGCUCUGACGAAUUGUAAAAGCAUUUUUAGUUUGCUUUCUGUUGCCACCCUGGAACUUUUCUUUAUUAUUGCUUGCUGCCUUGAUUAACAGUUGUUGGGAACUUCAAGCUCCCUGCUCUCCCUUCUUAUGGUCUUUAUAUUGCACCUGGAGACUCCAAUACAGAGCAUUCCAUGUCAAGAAGGAGGGCAAGUGGGCACCCUAUCAAAUGACAAGGCAGGAACUACACGGAGCAGGCCCUUUUCACUGGUGGUGCCCAUUGUAUGGCUCGCUCUUUCCAGACCUGCUCUCUUUUGGCCUGGAAUUUGGAGCUUUAUAAUCUAGGAAGACUUUGGAAUAACAGGUUGACAAGUCUUAUCAGUCGCUGACGUAUGAGCGGAUGUUAUUUGCUGCUAUUCUGGGUUCCUGGUGCACCAGGGUUUACACCAGUGUAAUAGAGUUGGCCAGGACGAAAGAAAGGAUACAAUUAUCUCCAUUAUCUGCACAGCAGGGGGUGUUUAGUCAACAGUGCAAAGGCUGAGCUGAAGUGUUUCCUGCUGGUUACCUGCUUUCAGCAAUAGGGGCCACUGUUUGGUAGUACCCAACUGGUUAGCUGUCAGAUUCUAGAGCUCCCUGUUGGUGGCUCUUAGGUAAUUCCAAAAAUACAGAGUCCAUUCAUAAAGCAGUAACAUAAAUCUCCAUUGCUACAUAUUGGGUGUGUAUUUCAGCAGUUGGACGUACAGCUUUAUGGCCAUGCUGUAGUGUAGUGCUUAUGCGACUGUGAAUAAAAGGUGGCUGGGCUCAUUGUCCCGGGGUUUGGGAGGUGUGAGAAAACUGAUGGUGAAUUUGGGGUGACCCAGUGCAAACAUCCUGAGGGUCCAUGUGGAUCUGUGCUUUGUAACCACGUUUAUGCGCCAUUGCGGCCCCACGAAACAGUGGAUACGUGGUUUUUUUGGUGCAGGCUGUGGCUAUGGACAUGCUAUGUGAUCUGAUGAAUUUGGGGUGACCCAGUGCAAAAAUCCUGAGGAUCCAGGGCCUGAGAGGGUGGAACUUUACAUGGAGCAAUGCCAUUAUCUAAGAGAGACCGCAUCCCUUUGUCUCUCUCUGUGAAUAUUGAAUAAACUACUUGGUAAGAACUCUUCUUGUUUUUCUGCUUCUUGACAUCCCACUGUGGGAGCGAUAGGAUUCCCUUGACACCUACCAUCUCAAGUCUCUGGAGAAGCUUACAUCAUCACAGUGGGCCCUGAGAAUGGGAGGAUAUUAUUAUUGUUAUUGCAAUUCCCUCUCCUGCACUCUGUACUGGCCACUGCCUUAGACAGCAUGGUCAGGGAUGGUGAGAGCUGCAGUUCACCAACAUCUGGAGGACCCUAAGUUACCCUCUCUAGCUGUAAAAAGCCUCCAGACACAUUUAUGGACAUUUUUAGAGCAGGACACAUUUCUUCUCCAUCUCUAGCAAUGUAGUCCUGGCAGGAGAACCCUCCAGCACUUGCAAAUAUAGUGGAGCACGCUGACCGUGUCCUUCCAUGCAGCCAUGUUUCUGCUUGAAAUUAGAUUGUCCAAGUGAGAUGACAUUGCGCCAUGUAGAUUCAGGAAACAUGAAGGCAAGAGGCAGUAAUGAGAUGAUGGAGGCAGGUAAUUAAAUUUGUUCCACUAGAAGCCGGGGGGGGGGGGGGAUUUAACCACAUGCCUGCUGUGCUGCCUUGAUCAAACAUCCUGAAAUUGGUCCUAGGAGGCUGGUUUGUGUUUUUUUUUAAAAAAAAGAGGAGUGCAGUGGUUUCCAGCAUUUCAUGGCUAUCAGCUCUCCGCCCUUGGCUUUGGACAUGGCCUCAGGAAGUAACUAACCCUUGGGUACAACGGAUGAUCAGACGAGUCUCCUCUUCGUUUAUACUUCUAGGCUAAGAUGAUGUAUGUCAAUGAGGCACACGCAAAGGUAAAAUUAAGAAGCCCUGGCUCGUAAGAGUGAAUUUGUCGAUUACAGUCUCAGAGGAAGGCAAGAUUAAGAUUAUAUUUUUGCAAUCAGCACCCAGGGAUUGAAAAAGCAAAAUAAUAAUAAUAAUAAUAAUAAUAAUAAUAAUAAUAAUAAUAAUUCAAUAUCGCUUGGCUGUGGAUGACAAGCUGCUCUGGUAAGGAGUUAAGGUCUCAUACAAUGUGUGCCUGAAGGUGAUCCUUAAGAGACCGACUUUGAUAGUCUAGCAAGAAAGAUCCACAGUAUACGUUUAUAGCACACCCACCACACAUUUAAAGCAUGUGGCUUUCCCCUCCCCCUCCCCUGUAGUUUGAAGGGUUCUCCUGGGAACUGUAGCUCUGUGAGAGGGAAAACUACUGAUCCCAUGCUUCUUUGAGCGGGAAACUCAUGUGCUUUAAGUGUGCAUUGGAAGUGCUUUAAGUGCAAGAAAUGGAUCUGCUGCACGAUUGCAAGUAGCCUUCUGCACACGUUGCUGAUACUUUAUUAAAUUAGUAGGAUCUAUGUGCAGCUUCAUCUGAAAACAAUGUCCUGAGGUUUGCAUUAAUAGUAUAAAAUAUUUGUUAAAAAUAGCAAUGAAGUGGACUUGAUGGGGUUUUUAUCUGGAUGCCUGACAUCCCUGCCAAUAUUGAGGCCACAAUGGAGUCUUAUAAGCUUUCAGCCUCACCGGACGACCUACUUGUACACCCAGCCUUUUGACGGAAUCUGUGUCACUGUCCUUUGUUAUUUGAAGGGGGUAAGUGCUCUCUCCUGUCAUCUUGUUUCAAUGUUUACUGCUAGAACGUGCUUUUUUAUAUACUGUGUUUUAUGGGUACCGUAUCCUGCUUCCGGGUUAUUUCCUAAUGAAAAGCGGGCAACAACUUAUAUAUAUAAAUAAGUCAAUACCCUCAGCUCAGUUUGCAGCUGCCCCCUUAUAAGCUGCAACUUGCAGCACAUCCUGGAGCCAAGUCCAGCACCUCAGAGCCCUCUGCCAAAGCACCACCCUGGCACCUUUGCCAAGCAAGUGUGGGCCACCAUCCCCAGAACAGGCACCCCAGCUACCUGGUGCUGAGAGUGGGCAGCUGCAGGAACAAAUGGCCGAGAGAGACUGCCAUAGCUGCCCAGCCCAGCAUUGAGCCCUUGAAAGGAAAUAAAAAACACACACCAUACGCUGGCAGGGGGUGUAAUCAUUAUACUCAUCCCUGCUAAGCUUAACGGGGUGGGGGACAUGUUUUCGGGAGGCAGGCACAGGCUCUGGCACAGCUUUUUCUUUUUCUUUUUAAGGAUUCAGCUCCGAAAAAGGAGUUCCAGGUCAGGCAGCUGCAGUGAUGACCAUCCUUGCUCCCCCACAAUGCCUUGGGGGGCCCAGAAGCUUUGGGUGGCUGGGUGUGAUGUGUUGGUUUUUGUCUUUUGGGUAAUAGGAAGAAAACCACUAGGUAAAAUAAAAGAAGAACUCCCUGUAUGCUUAGAUGGAGGUUUGGAGAAAGUACUCUUUGGUGAGAGAGAACUCCAACAAAGAUCUAAAAUCACAAAAAUGCAGCAAAAUAAAGUGUGGAAAUCUAGACUGCUGGACCUUUACAAUAUCCCCUUCUAAGUUUCUUCCAAAGCUCCCCACUCUUAGCAUAGAAAGAGAC
rnacentral:lncRNA from 1 species